rnacentral:rRNA from 1 species
CCUACGGGAGGCUGCAGUGGGGAAUAUUGGACAAUGGGCGAAAGCCUGAUCCAGCCAUGCCGCGUGUGUGAAGAAGGCCUUCGGGUUGUAAAGCACUUUCAGUGGGGAAGAAAGCCUUGGGGCUAAUACCCUCGAGGAAGGACAUCACCCACAGAAGAAGCACCGGCUAACUCCGUGCCAGCAGCCGCGGUAAUACGGAGGGUGCGAGCGUUAAUCGGAAUUACUGGGCGUAAAGCGCGCGUAGGCGGUCUGAUAAGCCGGUUGUGAAAGCCCCGGGCUCAACCUGGGAACGGCAUCCGGAACUGUCAGGCUAGAGUGCAGGAGAGGAAGGUAGAAUUCCCGGUGUAGCGGUGAAAUGCGUAGAGAUCGGGAGGAAUACCAGUGGCGAAGGCGGCCUUCUGGAAUGACACUGACGCUGAGGUGCGAAAGCGUGGGUAGCAAACAGGAUUAGAUACCCGGGUAGUC